rnacentral:rRNA from 1 species
CUGAGACACAGGUCCAGACUCCUACGGGAGGCAGCAGUGGGGAAUCUUCCGCAAUGGGCGCAAGCCUGACGGAGCAACGCCGCGUGAGUGAAGAAGGGUUUCGACUCGUAAAGCUCUGUUGUCGGGGACGAAUGUGGAGAUGGUGAAUAACCAUUUCCAAUGACGGUACCUGACGAGGAAGCCAACGGCUAACUACGUGC